GCACAGAUCAUCAGGGUGGAGCCUGAGACCCUGAGGUGUUAGGACACAAGGACCUCUGCUCAUGUUCACAGCCAUGUGUCUUCUCUUCUGACUUGUGGACAAGAGCUGGAAAUAGCAAGCCUGGGCAAACAAAGUAAGAUUUUAUUUCUAGGACAUCUUUGUCGGAUACGUGCCUGCAGGUAUGUAUGUGUGUGAAAUAUGCACUUGCCCAAGGAUUCCAGGAGGGUGCAUCGAUUAGAUUACCCCUGGCAAUGGAGUUAGUGAGCUGCCUGGCAUGGGUUUUGGAACAAAGCUCUGGUCCUCUGCAAGAGCAGGAAGCUACCACGCUAGUCCACAAUCUUACGGAAUUUAUUGGUAUCCUGCAAGCAAAACAAAGACUAAAGCUAGGCAAAAAGCCACAAACUGUGAACCCUGCAGAGGUGAGUGUCUCCUACAGAGAGGCGUGCCAAUAUGCUUGUAUCUAAAAGACUGUGAAGCGGGGAGGUCGGGCUGUGGUUCUCUCAGGGUGGUGAAUGGUUUGGGGCAGGCUGAAGCCUGGGUGGCUGACAGGUCCCUCAUCUUAGGACUUUUAUGAAGAAAUCAUGCUUUCUGCAUUUGUGAUAUACACAGCUAACAGGUCCCAUGCUUUAAAAAUAUCUUGCAAAAAUGCAAAUGGUUUCACGAGGGAAAAGGCCUUUCACGAGUUCGUCCCACUUUAAUGUUUGAAGUUAAUUCCCCUCUGAGGAUGUGUUGGAAGUCCUGACUGCGUAGCUGAUUGGACACCUUUCAAAAGAGCUUCUCCCCUGGCUGGCAAAGUUCUGUGGACUGCUGCCACCACUUUACCAGAACACCACGCAGUGGUACUUGAAACAGAUGAAAAAGAUGUUGCAAUUUUGACUUCCAAGUAUUAAAAUAACAUGUCCUACCAAGCAGAGAAGACAACACCUCUAAUUCCGCAGCUACAGGAGCUGUGAGGGAGCGGGCGAGCUGGAAGGUCACGAGGGCUGGAAGCACAAAGUUCCUUAGAUGUGGUUAGUUUGGGCGUGAGCUGGGUACCAAUGCUUAUGGAGCAAUCAUCAAAAUAAAACCCAAGUACUUCAUGUACACCAGCCCUGCCUGGCACACAGGGUAGCUUGAGUGAUAAAUGGCCCUCACGGGGCCAUGUGUUUGAAUACUUGGUGCCUAGCUGGUGGUACUGUUUGGGGAGUUUUAGAACCGCCAGCUUUGCUGGAGGAAGUAUAACCCUGGGGGCCAGCUUUGAGGUUUUGUAGCCUGGCCCUACUUCCAGUUCCCACUGUUUACUGCCUGUGUGUAGAUGCAUCCGGGCUAGCCUCACAAUACUGCCACCAUGCCUUCCCCACGUGAUAGACUGCAUGGCCUAUGGAACUGUGAGCCUAAAGAACCCCGUCUCCCCUAGGUGACUUUUUUGUCUGGGUAAUUCUAUCACGGCAACAGAAAAUAUAAUAUAUAUUUUAUAUUAUAAUGUAUAUAUUAUAGUAUUCUAUUUUUUAAUACCCGAGUAUGAAUAUUUCAAAAGGCAGUGUGCUGACUUUUUUUUUUAAAUCAAUUUGACACAAGCUAUAGGGAAUCUCAACUGAGAACAUGCUUGCAUAGAUAUGUCUGUAGGCAAGUCUGUGGGGCAUUUGCUUGAUUAAUGAUUGACUGGGAAGCCUCAGGCAUAGGGUAGAAGAGCCACCCCUCCGCAGGUGGUUCUGGACAGUAUGAGAAAGCACUAUGAUGAGGGGACACUUAGUAAGCCAGUAAAAAUCAUACACACACAGCAACCCCAUGGCCUCUGUUUCAGUUCCUGCUUCUAGGUUCCUGCCCUGACUUCCUCUGAUAUGGAAGUUUAAAGUGAGAUAAACCCGUUCCUCCCCAAGUUGCUUUCGGUCAGGGUGUUUCAUCGCAGCAAAUUAAACCUUAAGCAAGACGGAUUUAACUGAAGGCAGAAGACGGGAUUUAGUGGCGAGCACCCAAGGAACUCAAGCUCCUGUCCACAGUCAGCAGCGGGCCUACUGAUGACAUCUCUGCGUACUCAGCCCAGUGCACAGUGACACUCCUCAGAGCACUGGAAGUGAUUUCAGGAGAUAGUUGACAAGCCAUGCAAGUAGAAUGCAAAUAUCUUAAGUUCUUUCUACCAUAUAGAAAACAUGUUUCCAUUUAAGAAAGAGCUGUUCUCCUGCCUUUAUGUUUAUGUGUGUAUAUGAGCAUGUGAGUGCAGUGCUUUCAGAGGCCAUAAGAGGGCGCUGGAUCCCACUAGAGCUGGAGUCACAGAUGCUUGUGGGUCUCCUGAGGUGGGUGCUAGGAACAGAACUCAGAUGCUCUGGAAGAGCAGCAGGGGCUCUUAACUGCUGACCAUUCCUCCAGCUCCAUUUUCCCAGUAUAAGACAAUUGCAAUCAAUGGUGGUGUAAGGAAUGAGGGAGGAUUCCAGCUUUUCUGUUUUCCUUUCAAAUUCCUGUUAAUUAUCUCAGAUUAUGUAUUAAGGAUGUAACUGAAAAAUGUGUACAUACUCAAAGUAUACAUCCUUAAAGUGAAUAUUAAUGAAAAUUUGGAACAAAUGUUGGCCUGAUUGUGUUAACAGAUCUUGUUAUUCUGCUUAAGAUGAAUCUAGUCCUAAUGAAGUCUUAUGAAGUAAACCAGGGAACUAGUACGAGUCUGUUUCCCUAAAUGCAAGCAGCUGCCCUGGGAGGUUAGGAGGGAAAGCUCUGGGACCACAAAGAGACACCAUAAAAACAGUGUCAUAUUCUGCAAUAGACUGAGCUCUCCACAGUGAUUCCUGGACAGCAGCUCUCAGAGAAGAACCCAUGUCCCUUCUGCCUCAGCAGCCAGAACAGUCUUCACUGGUUAUACGCGGGGCCGUGAAAGGCAGCCUCCUUUGGCUGAGCGAGGCUUGCUCCAGAGACCCAGUAGGAAAGUUUACAAGGGACGGAACAGUGAGCCAUGUUCCCAGAGACAGGUGCCUGACACCGCAGAGCCCCCAACUUCAUAAUUCUGUGAUUAUCAGUCAGGCAGACAAAGCCCCAAGCUCCUGGCAUUCUAGUGAGACUCCAUCCUCACAGUUACCUGACAAUAGCCAGGUAUGCUCCUCCCCACAGCUACCCAGAAACUGCAGGAUAGCCCAGCUCACUAUAAAAGGGGCUGCUUGGCCCCUCCUCUCUCUCUUAAGCUCUUACCUUUCUUACUCUCAUCUCUAGCUCUCCUUUUCUUCCUUCCUUCCCCCUUCUCUUUAUGUGGCCAUGGCCAGCCUCUCUCUUGUACCUUUUCUCUUUCUCUUUGGCCUUUUUACAAUAAAG
rnacentral:lncRNA from 1 species